CCCUUAGACGUUCUGGGCCGCACGCACGCUACACUGACGAAGGCAACGAGCUUUCCUUUACCGAAAGGUACGGGUAAUCUUUUGAAACUUCGUCGUGCUGGGGAUAGAUCCUUGCAAUUUUUGAUCUUAAACGAGGAAUUCCUAGUAAGCGCAAGUCAUCAACUUGCGUUGAUUACGUCCCUGCCCUUUGUACACACCGCCCGUCGCUACUACCGAUUGAAUGGUUUAGUGAGGCCUUCGGAUCCGCGACUCGUUUUGUGGAGAAGUUGGACAAACUCAGUCAUUUAGAGGAAGUAAAAGUCGUAACA
rnacentral:rRNA from 1 species